UGAACGGUGGUCUUUAACAAUAAAACAUAUUUAAUUAGUUAAAGCUGUGUACCUGUAUUCCGGCACCUGUUAUUUCAUGGUCUUUACUAAAGAACGCCACUUAUUUGUAAACGUAUUGUCCACUGUCGUUAGCGUGUGUAUGUUAACAUCUCGAUAGGUGACAAUGAUGUCAUUAUCCACCCCAGGAGAGGAGCGCUUUCCCGCGUUCAUUGUGGUUCCGCUGGUAUUAGGCAGUUAGUCGCAUUGACUUAAAGUGCCUUUAUCCAAUGAAGGUUUAGUCACCUCUUCCUUGGAUACCGUUCACCAUCAUUGGAUCAAAGGCCGAGACCCGUUGCCGAGUCUGUACCCACGACGAGGAGCGGGAACAUCUGGUGUUGUUAUCUUUUUUAAAUGUGUUCUUUUUCGUCACGGUAAUUAAGUUGCCAUAUGGGAAUGUUAACGGGACUUGAUUGCUCGCAUCAUAGUAGGCCUAUGACGAUUAUAAAUUCAUUGCUUAACAAUCAUUCAUUACUUUGAAGACAGCUGCUAACAGUCAUUCGUUACUUUGGACACAGCCAUGGGACCCCUUUGAAACUAUCGAUGAUUUUGAUUUCGAGCGUCUGUUCGAGGAAUUAAGGGGCAGACAGGAACAAAAACGAGUUCUUGCAAUGAUCAUCAGGUCAUUGCAAGUUUCACGAUACACUGUAAAUAAACAAUAAAAUAAAA